GCAUAUCAAUAAGCGGAGGAAAAGAAACCAACAGGGAUUGCCCCAGUAACGGCGAGUGAAGCGGCAACAGCUCAAAUUUGAAAUCUGGCUCCGGCCCGAGUUGUAAUUUGUAGAGGAUGCUUUUGGUGAGGUGCCUACUGAGUUCCCUGGAACGGGACGCCAGAGAGGGUGAGAGCCCCGUAUAGUAGGUUACCGACCCUCUGUAAAGCUCCUUCGACGAGUCGAGUAGUUUGGGAAUGCUGCUCAAAAUGGGAGGUAUAUCUCUUCUAAAGCUAAAUAUAGGCCAGAGACCGAUAGCGCACAAGUAGAGUGAUCGAAAGAUGAAAAGCACUUUGAAAAGAGGGUUAAAUAGCACGUGAAAUUGUUGAAAGGGAAGCGCUUGUGACCAGACUUGCGCCGGGCUGAUCAUCCAGUGUUCUCACUGGUGCACUCGACCCGGCUCAGGCCAGCGUCGGUUCUCGUAGGGGGAUAAAAGCUUCGGGAACGUGGCACCUUCGGGUGUGUUAUAGCCCGCUGCUUAAUACCCCUGUGGGGACCGAGGUUCGCGCUCUGCAAGGACGCUGGCAUAAUGGUCAUCAGCGACCCGUCUUGAAACACGGACCAAGGAGUCGAGGUUUUGCGCGAGUGUUUGGGUGUAAAACCCGCACGCGUAAUGAAAGUGAACGUAGGUGAGAGCUUCGGCGCAUCAUCGACCGAUCCUGAUGUAUUCGGAUGGAUUUGAGUAAGAGCGUAAAGCCUCGGACCCGAAAGAUGGUGAACUAUGCCUGAAUAGGGUGAAGCCAGAGGAAACUCUGGUGGAGGCUCGCAGCGGUUCUGACGUGCAAAUCGAUCGUCAAAUUUGGGCAUGGGGGGCGAAAGACUAAUCGAACCAUCUAGUAGCUGGUUACCGCCGA
rnacentral:rRNA from 1 species